AUUGAACGCUGGCGGCAGGCUUAACACAUGCAAGUCGAGCGGGGUGAUGUAGCUUGCUACAUUACCUAGCGGCGGACGGGUGAGUAAUGCUUAGGAAUCUGCCUAUUAGUGGGGGACAACAUUCCGAAAGGAAUGCUAAUACCGCAUACGCCCUACGGGGGAAAGCAGGGGAUCUUCGGACCUUGCGCUAAUAGAUGAGCCUAAGUCAGAUUAGCUAGUUGGUGGGGUAAAGGCUCACCAAGGCGACGAUCUGUAGCGGGUCUGAGAGGAUGAUCCGCCACACUGGGACUGAGACACGGCCCGGACUCCUACGGGAGGCAGCAGUGGGGAAUAUUGGACAAUGGGGGGAACCCUGAUCUAGCCAUGCCGCGUGUGUGAAGAAGGCCUUUUGGUUGUAAAGCACUUUAAGCGAGGAGGAGGCUACCGAGAUUAAUACUCUUGGAUAGUGGACGUUACUCGCAGAAUAAGCACCGGCUAACUCUGUGCCAGCCGCCGCAGUAACAC
rnacentral:rRNA from 1 species